UACAGAGGUCCCGAGCGUUGUUCGGAUUCACUGGGCGUAAAGGGUGCGUAGGUGGUGCGGUAAGUCGGAUGUGAAAUCUCCGAGCUCAACUCGGAAAUGGCAUUGGAAACUACCUUGCUCGAGGGUUGGAGGGGGGACUGGAAUACUUGGUGUAGCAGUGAAAUGCGUAGAUAUCAAGUGGAACACCAGUGGCGAAGGCGAGUCCCUGGACAACUCCUGACACUGAGGCACGAAAGCUAGGGGAGCAAACAGG
rnacentral:rRNA from 1 species